rnacentral:rRNA from 1 species
ACCCCGCAUGCGCCUUUAAAUAGCUCCUCACCGGCGGAAUACAGUUAUCGCCAGAAGCCGGGGAUAACGCAGGAAAAAACAUGUGAGCGAAAAGCCAGCAGAAGGCCAGGAACCGUAAAAAGGCCGCGUUGCUGGCGUUUUUCCAUAGGCUCCGCCCCCCUGACGAGCAUCACAAAAAUCGACGCUCAAGUCAGAGGUGGCGAAACCCGACAGGACUAUAAAGAUACCGGGAGUUUCCCCCUGGAAGCUCCCUCGUGCGCUCUCCUGUUCCGACCCUGCCGCUUACCGGAUACCUGUCCGCCUUUCUCCCUUCGGGAAGCG